rnacentral:lncRNA from 1 species
UAGGAAAAAAAAAAUCAACCGGAAGAAGUGUGACGGGAUUCGAACUCAGAUUCUCCGACUCUAAUGCCAUAUUAAAUAAUAUAAAAUCGUUUGUAUAUUUAAUACUCUUCCUCAUGUCGGGAUUCGAUACUUUUUGAUAAGCCCAUGAACGUGGACUUGAAUUAAACAGAAAAAUAUCAAUUAUGCUACAAGUCUUGCAGGACUCGAACUCGGGACCGUUUAUUCUGCUACUAUGUUUAAUAAUAUGAAACAAUUGUUGUUCUUUAAAAGCUUAAAAUGAUAAAAGAUGGUAUAUUUAUAUCUUUAUGUUGAAUAAUUGCUAGCUUCUGGAAGUAAAAGGAGAAG